rnacentral:rRNA from 1 species
GAUGAACGCUGGCGGCGUGCCUAAUACAUGCAAGUCGAGCGAACAGACGAGGAGCUUGCUCCUCUGACGUUAGCGGCGGACUGGUGAGUAACACAUGGAUAACCUACCUAUAAGACUGGGAUAACUUCGGGAAACCGGGGCUAAUACCGGAUAAUAUAUUGAACCGCAUGGUUCAAUAGUGAAAGACGGUUUUGCUGUCACUUAUAGAUGGAUCCGCGCCGCAUUAGCUAGUUGGUAAGGUAACGGCUUACCAAGGCAACGAUGCGUAGCCGACCUGAGAGGGUGAUCGGCCACACUGGAACUGAGACACGGUCCAGACUCCUACGGGAGGCAGCAGUAGGGAAUCUUCCGCAAUGGGCGAAAGCUUGACGGAGCAACGCCGCGUGAGUGAUGAAGGUCUUCGGAUCGUAAAACUCUGUUAUUAGGGAAGAACAAAUGUGUAAGUAACUAUGCACGUCUUGACGGUACCUAAUCAGAAAGCCACGGCUAACUACGUG